rnacentral:rRNA from 1 species
UACGUAGGGGGCAAGCGUUAUCCGGAAUCACUGGGCGUAAAGGGUGCGUAGGCGGCCGAUAAAGUCUGGGGUGAAAGGCUACGGCUUAACCGUAGUAAGCCUUGGAAACUUAUUGGCUUGAGUGCAGGAGAGGUAAGUGGAAUUCCUAGUGUAGCGGUGAAAUGCGUAGAUAUUAGGAGGAACACCAGUGGCGAAGGCGACUUACUGGACUGUAACUGACGCUGAGGCACGAAAGCGUGGGGAGCGAACAGGAUUAGAUACCCUGGUAGUCCACGCCGUAAACGAUGAGUGCUAGGUGUCGGGGGCGACAGCCCUCGGUGCCGCAGCUAACGCAUUAAGCACUCCGCCUGGGGAGUACGCUCGCAAGAGUGAA